AACGAACGCUGGCGGCGUGCCUAACACAUGCAAGUCGAACGUGAUUGAAGAGCUUGCUCUACAUGAAAGUGGCGCACGGGUGAGUAACGCGUAGAUAAUCUACCUGGUGAUUUGGGAUAACAGUUCGAAAGGACUGCUAAUACCGAAUAAGCCCACGGAGUCUUUGGAUUCUGCGGGAAAAGGGGGGGACUUUCGGGCCUUCCGUCAUCAGAUGAGUCUGCGUACCAUUAGCUAGUUGGUAGGGUAAAGGCCUACCAAGGCGACGAUGGUUCGCUGGUCUGAGAGGAUGAUCAGCCACACUGGAACUGAGACACGGUCCAGACUCCUACGGGAGGCAGCAGUGGGGAAUUUUGCGCAAUGGGGGAAACCCUGACGCAGCAACGCCGCGUGAGUGAUGAAGGCCCUUGGGUCGUAAAGCUCUGACAGAGGGAAAGAAAUGUAGGAUGGCUAAUAUCCAACUUACUUGACGGUACCCUCAAAGGAAGCACCGGCUAACUCCGUGCCAGCCGCCGCCGUAACAC
rnacentral:rRNA from 1 species